rnacentral:rRNA from 1 species
GGAUGCUAAUACCGCAUACGUCCUACGGGAGAAAGCAGGGGAUCUUCGGACCUUGCGCUAAUAGAUGAGCCUAAGUCGGAUUAGCUAGUUGGUGGAGUAAAGGCCUACCAAGGCGACGAUCUGUGGCGGGUCUGAGAGGAUGAUCCGCCACACUGGGACUGAGACACGGCCCAGACUCCUACGGGAGGCAGCAGUGGGGAAUAUUGGACAAUGGGGGGAACCCUGAUCCAGCCAUGCCGCGUGUGUGAAGAAGGCCUUAUGGUUGUAAAGCACUUUAAGCGAGGAGGAGGCUACUGAGACUAAUACUCUUGGAUAGUGGACGUUACUCGCAGAAUAAGCACCGGCUAACUCUGUGCCAGCAGCCGCGGUAAUACAGAGGGUGCGAGCGUUAAUCGGAUUUACUGGGCGUAAAGCGUGCGUAGGCGGCUUUUUAAGUCGGAUGUGAAAUCCCCGAGCUUAACUUGGGAAUUGCAUUCGAUACUGGGAAGCUAGAGUAUGGGAGAGGAUGGUAGAAUUCCAGGUGUAGCGGUGAAAUGCGUAGAGAUCUGGAG